GAAGGCCGCUCUACUUCACAUGUG
rnacentral:siRNA from 1 species